UGCAGAGACUCAAGAACAGUGAUCCUGCCUCUCCCCAUCAGAAACAAGACUCCUCAACUGCCGGCUGGCUCUAUCUCUCAGCAAAUCUUCCUAUACCACUGGACACAUGGAAACUUUGGAUCUCUACACAUCAAUCAAAGGGAACAAGCAACUGUAGGGAAAGUAAAAAGUCUAACAAUUCUUCUUCACAGGGCUUUUUGCUCAAUCUUCAUGAGAAAAGAGAGCCAGAAGACACAGACAAAGAUGAGAAGAGCUAUUCUUAGGAGAAAGCCAGAUUUCAGGACCCCUUUGAAUGUUAUAAACCAUGCACAACUGAACUUAUAGAGGACCCAACCAACAUUAGGCAUCAUCUUGGAAUUUAUCUAAAAUAAAGGAAAAAUUAUUACACCUUACA
rnacentral:lncRNA from 13 species